rnacentral:rRNA from 1 species
AUGCCACAGGCUGUACACCAAUCCGGUAGCCUCACGUACUUUACAACGACUAACUCGCUGAGGAAUGUGUGGGCUGGGCCUGCAAGCCCACUACACGACCAUGGCGACGCGGCAGGCACCUUGAAAUACCCCGCCUUGGCGCCCGAAAGUAACCGUCCCAACCAACAGCCUUCGCUCCUCCUCUUCUCCCCGUCGCCGGAGCGCCAAGAAACCAAGAACCCACCGCGCGCCUCUGCUCUCCUGCGUCACCGGCGAGCGAUGGAGCAGUUCCAGGACGGCCACCACGUGCGGCUGCGGAGCCGCGAGCGCGGCACGUACCUGCACGCCGACGACGACGGGCUUGGCGUCUCUCUCCACCACCGCCGGGCGUCGAUGAACACGGCGUGGGCGGUGCACAUCUACCAGGGAGAUGGAAACAACCAGUACGUGCUCCUCCACAGCGCCGCCUACGGCCGCUACCUCGGCGCCACGGACGCGCCGGCGCCGCGAGGCCACAGCGGGCGCCGCGUCGAGCAGUGCGACUACGAGCCCUGGGAGGAGAUGGCCAUCAGGUGGCAGGUCGUCAGGAUCGGCUCGGGGGACGAUAUCCUGCUCCGCCAGGUCGCCGGCCGCCUCCGCGCCAACGGGAAGUAUCUCAGCGUCGACGGCUUCAACAGCGUCGGCCCGAUGAUGCACUGGGUCGUGGAGCGCAUCCCCGCCAGGGAGGACACGCCUCGCCUUGCAGCUCCGACUGGGCUCCGCUUCCCCAGAAGCCUCGCCUUCCUGUUGCCGUGGCGGGUGAUCCAGUACGAGCAGGCCGGCGCCGACGAGCCCAACGCCAACUUCGCCUGGGCCUCACUCGUAUUCAGGGGCAGGUCCGCGUUCCACCUGAGGAAGAAGCUGGCCCGCCGGCUGGAUGCCGCCAUGGACGCCUGCAACCUCGUCAUGUGCGUCCGAGCGGGUACGCACGGGCGGCCUACCCCACUGCUCGUCGAUCUGCCCCACAGCGACGAGACCCUCGACAUCGUCGUCGUCAUGGCCGGGACGCCAGCCCACGCAGACCUGCGGUACCCGAAUGUCAAUGCAGAGUAG